rnacentral:rRNA from 1 species
UACGAAGGGGGCUAGCGUUGUUCGGAAUCACUGGGCGUAAAGGGCGCGUAGGCGGCUUUAUAAGUCGGGGGUGAAAGCCUGUGGCUCAACCACAGAAUUGCCUUCGAUACUGUAGAGCUUGAGACCGGAAGAGGUAAGUGGAACUGCGAGUGUAGAGGUGAAAUUCGUAGAUAUUGGGAAGAACACCGAUGGCGAAGGCAGCCAUCUGGACCGACACUGACGCUGAGGCGCGAAAGCGUGGGGAGCAAACAGG